rnacentral:rRNA from 1 species
UACGUAGGGGGCAAGCGUUGUCCGGAAUGAUUGGGCGUAAAGGGCGCGUAGGCGGCCUGGUAAGUCUGGAGUGAAAGUCCUGCUUUUAAGGUGGGAAUUGCUUUGGAUACUGUCGGGCUUGAGUGCAGGAGAGGUAAGCGGAAUUCCCGGUGUAGCGGUGAAAUGCGUAGAGAUCGGGAGGAACACCAGUGGCGAAGGCGGCUUACUGGACUGUAACUGACGCUGAGGCGCGAAAGCGUGGGUAGCAAACAGGAUUAGAUACCCUGGUAGUCCACGCCGUAAACGAUGUCAACUAGCCGUUGGGGGACUUAAUCCUUUAGUGGCGAAGCUAACGCGAUAAGUUGACCGCCUGGGGAGUACGGCCGCAAGGUUAAA